AUCUACACACUACAAAAAAAGAAAUGCGUGUCUGCAUCAAUCUGCUGUCACUUGUAAACAGCACAGGCCCCAUGACACUGUGAUAGAAGUGUUGUUGGAGGAGGGGAUGAUGAGGAAGAUUAAGAUGUCCAUCUGUUGCCGAACAGUCAGCUUGGAUCAGCGUGCAGGACAACU